GAUGAAGAACGUAGCGAAAUGCGAUACUUGUGUGAAUUGCAGAAUCCCGUGAACCAUCGAGUCUUUGAACGCAAGUUGCGCCCGAAGCCAUCAGGUUGAGGGCACGUCUGCCUGGGCGUCACAUAUCGUUGCCCAAUGCCUAUUGCAGUGCAAUAGGAAUUUCUAGGGCGAAUGAUGGCUUCCCGUGAGCGUUGUUGCCUCGCGGUUGGUUGAAAAUCGAGUCCUUGGUAGGGUGUGCCAUGGUAGAUGGUGGUCGAGUUAGAACGAUACCGAUCAUGUGCAUGCUCCCCAAAAUAUGGCCUCUAUGACCCACACGCGUCUUUUGACGCUCAUGACGAGACCUCAGGUCAGGCGGGGCUACCCGCUGAAUUUAAGCAUAUCAAUAAGCGGAGGA
rnacentral:misc_RNA from 1 species